GACGUAGCCUGUGUCGAAUUCGCAGACCCCGCGUGUUCUGGUCGACUGCCCGACGGUAUAGCGUUCGACCGGCCGCAAGAGCGAACGGUGUCUCGGAUGUCGGACCUGGUCCGCCGCCGAACCCGUUCGUUCUGUUGGCGACCGUGUUCUCGGACAGGCCCUACCGGUCAGCGAUGCUAUUGCUUUGGGUACUUUCAGGACCCGUCUUGAAACACGGACCAAGGAGUCUAGCAUGUGCGCAAGUCAUUGGGAAUUACAAAACCUAAAGGCGCAAUGAAAGUAAAGGUUCGCCUUUGCGGACUGAGGGAUGAUGGUCAACGCAGACCCGCAAUCCCGGGGCGUCUCACUCUCAUUACGAGAAGAGGCGCACCAAGAGCGUACACGCUGGGACCCGAAAGAUGGUGAACUAUGCCUGGUCAGGUCGAAGUCAGGGGAAACCCUGAUGGAGGACCGUAGCGAUUCUGACGUGCAAAUCGAUCGUCGGAACUGGGUAUAGCGGCGAAAGACUAAUCGAACCAUCUAGUAGCUGGUUCCCUCCGAAGUUUCCCUCAGGAUAGC
rnacentral:rRNA from 1 species